CCGCGAACUUCUAAACCUUUGACGAUUGACUUAUGUUGCCUCGGCGGGUUCUCCCGCCAGAGGAUACAUCAAAACUCCUGUUUUAACGGUGUUGUCUGAGCUACAAGCAACGAAUCAAAACUUUCAACAACGGAUCUCUUGGUUCUGGCAUCGAUGAAGAACGCAGCGAAAUGCGAUAAGUAGUGUGAAUUGCAGAAUUCAGUGAAUCAUCGAAUCUUUGAACGCACAUUGCGCCCCUUGGUAUCCCGAGGGGCAUGCCUGUUCGAGCGUCAUUUCACCACUCAAGCCUGGCUUGGUGUUGGGCGACGUCCUCUUUGGGGACGCGCCUCGAAACGCUCGGCGGCGUGGCACCGGCUUUAAGCGUAGCAGAAUCUUUCGCUUCAAAAGUCGGGGCCCCGUCUGCCGGAAGACCUACUCGCAAGGUUGACCUCGGAUCAGGCAGGGAUACCCGCUGAACUUAAGCAUAUCAAUAAGCGGAGGAAAAGAAACCAACAGGGAUUGCCUCAGUAACGGCGAGUGAAGCGGCAACAGCUCAAAUUUGAAAUCUGGCUCUUUCAGGGUCCGAGUUGUAAUUU
rnacentral:rRNA from 1 species